rnacentral:rRNA from 1 species
GCAGUACAGAAAUGGAGUCUGACUGCCGUUGAAGAGAUUUGAAAGGCCGCGGUAUAUCUGUGCAAAGGUAGCAUAAUCAUUAGCUUUUUAAUUGAAGGCUUGUAUGAAGGGUUGGACAAAGAAAAGACUGUCUCUCUUUUUAGAUUUGAAGUUAACUUUAUGAAAAGGUUUAAAUAUAUUGGGACGAUAAGACCCUAUAAAUCUUUAUAUUAUAUUAUUUUUUUUAGAAUUAAUAUUUUGUCUAGAAUAUUAAAUAAAAUGAGAAAUAUUUUGUUGGGGUGACGAGAAUAUAAUUUUAACUGUUCAUUGAAACAAAGUUGUUUGUUAGGGUUAAUAGAUCCUUUAAGAUUCAGAGUUGUUACUUUAGGGAUAACAGCGUUAUUUUUUUUGAGAGUUCAUAUCGAAAAGAAAGUUUGCGACCUCGAUGUUGAAUUAAGAUUUCUCUGUGGUGCAGAAGUUACAGGAAGAAAGUCUGUUCGACUUUUGAAAUUUUACGUGAUCUGAGUUCAGACCGGA